GACGAACGCUGGCGGCGUGCUUAACACAUGCAAGUAGAACGGAAAGGCCCUGCUUUUGUUGCGUGCUCGAGUGGCGCACGCGUGAGUAACACGUGAGUAUCCUGUCCUUGUCUUUGGGACAACAUCAGGAAACUGCGGCUAAUACCCGAUAGGAGCUCUUGCUGCAUGGUGGGGGUUGGUAAGUUUCGGCGGUUGGGGCUGGACUCGCUGCUUAUCAGCUUGUUGGUGGGGUAGUGGCUUACCAAGCGUAUGACGGGUAGCAGGCCUGAGAGGGUGACCGGCCACAAUGGGACUGAGGUACGGCGCAGACGCCUACGGGAGGCAGUAGUGGGGAAUAUUGCAGAAUGGGCGGAAGCCUGAUGCAGCAACGCCGCGUGCGUGAUGACGGCCUUCGGGGGGUAAACCGCUGUCGCCUGAAACGAAGCGGGAGUGACGGUAAUGGGUAAAGAAGCACCGGCUAACUACGUG
rnacentral:rRNA from 1 species